CUGGGGGAGUCGGAAAACUUUAAGGAGGAAAGAGCUUGAGGGCAACUUGGGAAGAAAAUUACUAAUCCUGAAAAAGGUAUUUGGUCAUCCCAUGCAUCACGCCUGACUUCAACUUAUUGUGAGAGGCAUUUGUGGUCAUGAAAAGAAGUUGUUUUGGCUACUCAGAGACCCUUGAAAUUCCAUAUGAAUUUAAGAGUCACAUCAUCAAUUUCUGCAAAACAACCAAUAAGUUUGACACAUCUAGAAGUAACAGUGGCUGUUGUGUGGAGAAUAUGUUAUAGAGAAACCAGGUAUUUAUCCACAAUAAAUGAAAGCAUAUGUCUACUUAAAGACCUACAAAAGCUUUAUUUUUAAGAGUCCUAAACUGGAAAUAACCCACAUGCCCAUCAACAGAGGAAUGGAUAAACAAACUGUUGUAUAAGUAAUACUCAGCAAUAAAGAAAAAUGAACCGUUUCUGCAUGCUGCGGCAACAUGGAUGACUCUCACAAUUUUUAUUCUGUGUGAAAGAAACAAAAGAGAGAGUACAUAUUGAAUUAUUUCAUUCAUAAGAUUUCUAUAAAAUGAGCCAGGCACCAUUACUUGCAUCUAUAGUUUAAGCUACUUGGAAGGCUGAGGCAGGAGGAUCACUUGAACCCAGGAGUUUGAGGCCAUCCUGGGCAACAUAGUAAGACCCCAUCUCAACAAAUAUUAGAAAAUGGAAAUGCAAA